CAGAACGAACGCUGGCGGCAUGCCUAAUACAUGCAAGUCGAACGGAGAUAGCAAUAUCUUAGUGGCGAACGGGUGCGUAACACGUGAGCAACCUGCCUUAUACAUCGGAAUAACAGCUGGAAACGGCUGCUAAUACCGGAUAAGACCACACCAAGGCAUCUUGGAGAGGUCAAAGCGAAUUAGCGGUAUAAGAUGGGCUCGCGUCCAACUAGCUAGUUGGUGGGGUAACGGCCCACCAAGGCAACGAUUGGUAGCCGACUUGAGAGAGUGAUCGGCCACACUGGAACUGAGACACGGUCCAGACUCCUACGGGAGGCAGCAGUAGGGAAUAUUGGGCAAUGGAGGAAAAACCUCUUACCCAGCAAUGCCGCGUGAAUGAUGAAGGUCUUAUGGAUUGUAAAGUUCUUUAAUUGGGGACGAAAGAAAUGACGGUACCCAAAGAAUAAGCCCCGGCUAACUAUGUGCCAGCCGCGGC
rnacentral:rRNA from 1 species